rnacentral:lncRNA from 1 species
AAUUCUCACAUCCAUGGGACAAUCUCAUAUCUCCACUUGACUCUGGAAUUCAAACUAGAUCCAGGACAAGAAAUCUAGUUGCAUAUUCAGCCUUUAUGUCAAGAGAAAUACAUCAAGGAACUGCUUUGAAAGUUCAAUCCGAUUGAGGCAAAAGUUCUUGACACUCCCAUGAGCACAAGUGUGUAGCUUGACUUAGAUGAAGAUGGAGUUGACGGAUGAGUGCAAUAUUUCAAGCAGCACC